CCUGGGCAUGUUUGUUCCCGGCAGGGUGUAGGGGUGUGUGUUGUGGAAGGAGUGUUGCGCAAUAGUGUCGCAGUCGGCCGUGCCUGGAGAAGCAGCGCUGAUACCUGCCAGGUCGCGAAUCAUGCCAUUUCAUUGAAUGGCGUUAAGUGCAGAUGGACCACAUCUCUGGAAAGCACACACACUGAAGGAGUUGUUCACUCCAGAUUGCUGCUAUGUGCACAUAGCCUCUCUUCAAAGAGUGGUGCCCACAAAGAUCUGAUGUAGAGGAGGAUAAUAUGCAAAGAGUACUGCCUGAGCAAGGAACUGUCUCUGUUGCCUAGUGUUUUUAAUUGCCCCUUUGAUGAAAAACAAAAGGAAAAGCUGCUGUUUUAAAAAAAAAAAAAUUGUGAAUGGGAAAGUGUUUUUACUUUUAGGAAGUAUGUUAGGCCCCUUGAAUCUGCAGAGGUUUUGGCACUUAUUGCACUGCAAUUAAGAUACAAAAUUACUGGAAUCAGCUCUUGUACAAACAGUUCAUGAAAAUAACUUCUAAGAAAACUGUGAUGAGAAAGAAUGUUUGUAAUUGGUAGAUUAAGCUGCCCUAGCAGAAAGGGAACAGAGUGCAUCUCCAUCCAUGCUUCAGAUGUGUCAAAAGGAAAUUUAAAUCUUUAGGCUGCAUUAUGGGGAAGGGACAAUAAAUGAUAACAAAGAGAGGCCAUAAUUAAGCUCUCAUGUCUGAGCACAAAAAGUAGGCAUGAGGUUUUCUCAGAGCUGUGGGAUCUGAAAUCCAUGGAUUCCUAGGUUAGGGGAACAGACUAAGUCUUUGACUGAGACCACUGAGAACUUAGAGUAUAGCUAAUGGAGAGGUAAUGCAGAAAUUAGGACCUCAUAAGAAAUCUAUUGCAACUACACACAGUUGUAGCAGGAGCACCAGGCUGUAUUAACUCAGCGGCAGCAGCAGGAGGAGCCCGAAGUCCUAAUGCCACAACGGACACAUAGAUACUGCAUCUUAACACCUUUAAUCCAAAAACCUAAUAGCAGUACCUGAUGAUGGAGAAAAACAUCCUCAGUGUGAGAAAGUGAUGCAAAUUUCAAGUAAAGCACAGACUGAUUUAAGUGAUGUUCCCUCACAUAAACCAGAUGUAGUUCUAUUUGCAUAUGGCUCAUGCUACUCCCUCCAAGGACAGCAACAGGCUGGGCGUGCUGUAGUGAGCUGGGGACAGGUAACAGAAGCAGAACCACUUCCAGCAAGGAUGCAUGCACAAAUAGCAGAACUGGUAGCUUUAAUGCAUGCAGCACUUACGGAAAGAGGGAAAUGAGUGAAUGUCUGUAUAGAUUCUUGGUAUGCUCUUGGGCUGUGUCACACAAUGGGGGUGUUGUGGGAAAAAACAUGGGUUUUCACAUCACCCAGUAUAACGUACUGUUGUGACUCUGAUGGCUGACAAGAGGAAAUGCCAAAUUUUAUAAACCCUAAGACAAUAUAAAAGAAGGACUUCUCUACAGAAGAAGAGGUACAAUGGGAAAAAUGAAAGGCAACUCAGAAUUAUGAUGGGAUGUGGGCAAUUAGGGGAAUACCAAUUCUGACAAAGAAUAGUUAGUCACUCUGGCUAUGUGGUUUCAUGAUAAAUCUCAUGGAGGGACACAGGCAAUAGUUAUCGAAGUACAAAACAAUAUGGCCAGCCCAGGAAUUUAUGCCACCACAAAAGAGAAUCACAAAUGGCUGGCCAACAUGACAUGAGUUUUCAAGUAGCAGAAUGAGCUCAUGCUUGGGCGGGUGACUAUGGACUGAUUUCCCUUUUCAGGGACUGCAGAGACCCCACAGAAAUGUCACCUGUGGCAGGGUGGUAGUAGACCAACUGUCAGGCUAGGCAGAAGCCUUCCCAACAAGAAAGACUUAUUCAGGAGGAAGAAUAGAAGCCUUCAUAAAGAAACCAGUAUAUAUAUAGCAAAUAUGAUACCAAAAUUUUCCAGAUAGAAACUUUCUACAACAGCUUUGAGAAUUAGGAAACAGACAUUCUUUAUUGAAGCAUGCUGGUCAUUCGGAGGAUCCUUCGUCUAAUUAAUUGCCCUGACUGUUGGGUAAACAGAGUUUUUUUCAUGCCACGCUGAUUUACAUAAUCGUUAGAUUUCACCACUUACUUGAUGUACAUGUUUUACUUUAUGUUACAUAGUCACACCCCUUAUCAGAAGUCCUUACAUGGUUCUUAGGGAGUCUUCUGUGGUCUUCAACAUCUGAUGUCCUUUUUAGGUGGCCGCUCCUUGACCCCCGCUUUUGAGUAAGUGCAGAAUUGUUUAAAACUCCUGCUUUGUCAACCUUGCAGAGCUUAGCUGGCAUCCUGCUUGUGUCUUAUAUGACUUAUGCUUGAUUAAGUUACAUCCUGUUUCUAUUUCUCCAAGGCUAUGCUGUUCAGUUCUACCAUCCUUAUCAAAUACAAUCAAUCAGCUUGCUAAUAAUACCAAGGUCACGUGCACCUUCAAUCACCAUAUGAACUGUUUAUUUAAGGAAUUGGCCUCAAUGAUCAUUGCAGGUCCCUUCCAAUUCAGAAUAUUCUCUGUUAGAUGGUGAUGCCUGCCUGACUCAGUAUGCUAACAAGUAGAGAAGGAUCAAUCUCUUGAUCAGUAAUUGAUUUUUGAGGGUCCUUUGUGGUUUCAUAUUGAUAAAUAUUUCUGUCCUAUGACACUCUUGUUAGCCUUAACUCUGUUAAGUUUGUUAUUUGUUAUAAAGCUGUAUGUAAGAGCAGUGGUUAAAUGCUUUGAAACUUUUUUUUUCUCUCCUAGUGUAUUAUCAGAUAUGCUCAAUUAAAACAUGGGUGGGAGUGUUGAGAUACAUGGUCAGUGCAGAUAGGUCAGUGUUCAGCUGCAGUGCCAGCUGUAGAUUUGGCUCUGACUGGCAGGAGCCCAAAGAAAGAGACUGUGAACCUUUAGUUCACAAAAAAUAGUGCCUGUUUUUGCAUUUUAAAAGUGUCUUUAAAAGGGGUGAAGAAAAGUAAUCUAAGAGAAGAGAUGUUCUGUGUGUUGGGAGAGGCCAGAAGCCACCUAAUAUUUCCAUUCAUAUGGCCCUGAGAGCUCCUG